UUAGAAUACUCUUGUUCUUUAUUUCAGUUUACGAGAGACAGGGAAAUGGCGAUUUCUCUGUAUUUUUGUCGUCGGUUUUCUCUGCAUUAGGUGUCUUGCUUGCCUUGUAAUUUGAUUUGAUCGUGAUUUGAAUUCAGUUAUGGAUUUUAAGAAUUCUGACCGAAGAUGGCGGUUUGGUUGAUCGGUUGAUUUUGUUUGGAUUCACUGUUUCUGGUUGGAUGUGCCGUGAUUAUUUGAAGGAAUUAGAUAAGGAUCGCUUGCCGCCGUAAUAUUCACGAGCGCAGACAGGGAGAUGCGAUGUGGUUGAGGAAUAGAAGGCGUCGAAGAGAGCGUGGUGCAAUAAUUAGGAUCGCUGGCGGAAUCUCAACCAUCAUCGCCCUGCAAUCAAUCCGAGGAGAAGACCACAAUCACGCGCAAAACCUAACUCUGGUCUUGAAUCGAGUCUGACGGUUCUUUGUGCGAUGUCUUGGAUCAAUGUCAUUGAGUGGCUACUCUGUUUUGAGUGAUGAUUUAAUGCUAGGUUCUCAAUUAGGGCACACUGAGGUCAUUGUUAACUGCAUUUGGGAGAGGUUCUACCCGGGUUCUUAAUGCUUAUAGUGAGUGUAAGAAACCAGGAGCUCUCUGGGUUUCAAACAGCCAAGUCAAUAACUUGAAGAAUCUUCAAGUAGUGACAUGCUUUGUGCUAUGCUAUACAUGCUCACGUGUGCGGUCGACAGAGACCCUACAAGCCCACGUGCUGUCUGCCAAGAGCACGACAGACCUACUUGCAUUGGUUAAGGCCCAUCCUGCAGAAUAAGUUUCCUACCGGCCCAAUGAUUGCUAUACAACAGCAGUCAAGAGCACAUGCUGUUUGCCGAAAGUCCAAAAGGCCCAAUUGAAUGUUGGGCCCAAACUCAAUUGAGUCCAAUUUAGUCAGUGUAGGCCCAUUCGAUAGGCCAAACGUUGUGCCCAACGAGCCGACAGGAGCACGUGCUGUCUGCCUUAAAUCCUCUCCAGGUGCACUCAGUCGCGACAGCUGUCGCUUAACAGCCGACAGAAGCACAUGCUGUCUGCCAAAGCCCACGUCCAGUGGUAAUGGACCAUCAGGCCCAAUUUUUUUCUGUGUGGGCUAUAGAGCCCAAUGUGAUGUCAGCAUAAGUCUAUUUGAUAGGCCCAAUAGCUGUCUCCAAACACCCGACAGGAUCACAUGAGAAGCACAUGCUGUCUGCCAAAGCCCACGUCCAGUGGUAAUGGACCAUCAGGCCCAAUGUUUUUCCUUUCUGGGCUAUAUGGCCCAAUGUAAUGUCAACAUAAGUUUAUUUGACAGGCCCAAUAGUUGUCUCCAAACACCCGACAGGAUCACAUGCUGUCUGCUUACUAAAUUCCAAUCACGCGCAGUGGUCCUGGACCAUUAGGCCCAAAUGUUGUUUUUGUGUGGGUUAUAUAGCCCAAUGUAAUGUCAGCGGAAGCCCAUUGAACAGGCCCAAUAUUUGUCUCCAAGCACCCAACAGGAUCUCAUGCUGCCUGCUCAGAUCCAAACAGACCCACGUGUAGCUGUCAAGGCCCAUCUAGCCCAGUGUCGGUUCUCUCCCGGCCCAUAAGGCCCAAUGGAGAUGUCGGCACAGGCCCAAUUAAAAUUCACCUGAAUGUCGCACACACGCCGACAGAAGCACGUGCUGCCCGAGAAAUCCCGACAGAUCCACGAGCAGUGGUUACCUUCACGGCCCAAUGUAAUGUCAGGCCCAAAUUCUGUUGGUCAAGUGCCGACAGAUACACAUGCUCUCUGCUCAGACCCGACAGGGCCACGUGCUGUUUGGUCUAACUGGACAAUCCCAAGUGCAAUUGGUCAAUGCCUGUCGGGCAUGAAUGAUCUGAUAGUGCCACAAUAGUCACCCGUGACCCGACAAGCCCACCAAGGCCCAU